AUCUGGGGUGCAGCAGGAGAAUGAAGCAGGACUAUUGGUCAUUGGAGUCCCGGCCUCCUCAGUGCUGAGACACCUUUCACUAGGGAGCAAAUCACUGAUUUGGCAAGAGGAAAUGAACUCAACAGGGACUCCAGGGUACUAAUCUGCGUGAAUCAUGCACCUGAAGGGUCAGGGAUUGAACUGAAGGUUCUGUCAUCCUGGAUAGACUACAAACAGCAGCAAAUUCCAAUUCUAACCUUCAGAAUAGAAGUCCAUGUCCACCAGUGAACAGGUACCUGCAGGAUUCCCACUGCAGUCCAGGCACACAUCCCAUGACUUCAACCUGACCAAUCAGGAGAGUCCAGAUUGGCUACCUGGUCUGAUGGAUUGAGUUCUUGCCAUUUGAGCCAUGAGAUCACAGCUGAGGACUCAAGUGAUGAUCUCUAUACAUCAGGAGACACAGGGUGGUGAUCUGAGGUGUGGCCUGGGACAGCAGAAGUAGGAGCUCUGCAGGAAGUCCAGAUGGCAGUGUGCCCACUUCCGCAGCAUAGAGGGUCUCUGUCCAGCACAGGAGGAGCCUUCAAGUAUCCCUGUGUCCAGCCCAUCAGAAAAGACACAGUUCCACUGCAUGCUGGUCUAGUUUAUAUGUUUGUGAAGGGGCCUCACUGCAGGGAGUUUUUAUCAGAACCAUAUUUGUCUCCUAACAAGAAAGUGACAGCAAGCUGGAGGAAAAUGGGUACCACAUCGGAUGGAAUGCAGAGAAUUUGCUCCACUUUGGAAGUGCCUGGCCAUAUCCCUAGUCUUGGAACCCAAGAAUUCCUGACCUGAGUAUGUGCACACUUACCAUGAAUGACAUGGAGGGAAAAGAGCACCUCUCAUC